rnacentral:rRNA from 1 species
GAUGAACGCUAGCUACAGGCUUAACACAUGCAAGUCGAGGGCCCGGCGCACGGGUGAGUAACACGUAUCCAACCUGCCCUUUACUCGGGGAUAGCCUUUCGAAAGAAAGAUUAAUACCCGAUAUAAAGGAUGGGGAUGCGUUCCAUUAGGUUGUUGGUGAGGUAACGGCUCACCAAGCCAUCGAUGGAUAGGGGUUAUGAGAGGAAGGUCCCCCACAUCGGAACUGAGACCCGGGCCAAAAUCCUACGGGAGGAAGCAGUGAGGAAUAUUGGGCAAUGGGCGCUAGCCUGAACCAGCCAAGUAGCGUGAAGGAGGAAUGCUUAUGGGUCGUAAAUUUCUUUUAUAGAAGAAUCUUUAUUAUAUGAAUAAGGAUCGGCUAACUCCGUGCCAGCAGCCGCGGUAAUUC